CCUACGGGUGGCAGCAGUGAGGAAUAUUGGUCAAUGGCCGGAAGGCUGAACCAGCCAAGCCGCGUGAAGGACGAAGGUGCUAUGCAUUGUAAACUUCUUUUGUCAAGGGAUAAAAUCAGGCUCGAGAGCCUGAUUGUGGGUACUUGAAGAAAAAGCAUCGGCUAACUCCGUGCCAGCAGCCGCGGUAAUACGGAGGAUCCGGGCGUUAUCCGGAUUUAUUGGGUUUAAAGGGAGGGUAGGCGGGCUGUUAAGGGUGCCGUAAAAGCCCGGGGAUCAACCCUGGCCAAGCGGUGGAAACUGGAUGGCUUGAGAGGGCGAGAGGUAUGCGGAAUGCGUGGUGUAGCGGUGAAAUGCUUAGAUAUUGCGAAGAACUCCGAUUGCGAAGGCAGCAUACGGGCGGCGUACUGACGCUGAGGCUCGAAGGCGUGGGUAUCGAACAGGAUUAGAUACCCUUGUAGUC
rnacentral:rRNA from 1 species